rnacentral:misc_RNA from 1 species
UCUCCGUAGGUGAACCCGCGGAGGGAUCAUUACAGAGUUCAUGCCCUACCGGGUAGAUCUCCCACCCUAUGUUAUUAUUACUUUGUUGCUUUGGCGGGCCGUUAGGCUCCGGCCCGACUACCGGCCCCGGCUGGUAAGCGCCCGCCAGAGGACCCAAAACCCUGAAUAUUAGUGUCGUCUGAGUACUAUAUAAUAGUUAAAACUUUCAACAACGGGUCUCUUGGUUCUG